CUACGGGGGGCAGCAGUGAGGAAUAUUGCGCAAUGGGGGCAACCCUGACGCAGCGACGCCGCGUGGAUGAUGAAGGCCUUCGGGUCGUAAAAUCCUGUCAGAUGGAAAGAAGUGCGAGGUGGUUAAUACCCAUUUCGUUUGGCGGUACCAUCAGAGGAAGCACCGGCUAACUCCGUGCCAGCAGCCGCGGUAAUACGGAGGGUGCAAGCGUUGUUCGGAAGUACUGGGCGUAAAGCGCGCGUAGGCGGUUUGUUAAGUCAGAUGUGAAAGCCCACGGCUCAACCGUGGACGUGCAUUUGAAACUGGCAGACGUGAGUAUGGGAGGGGGUGGUGGAAUUCCCGGUGUAGAGGUGAAAUUCGUAGAUAUCGGGAGGAAUACCGGUGGCGAAGGCGACCACCUGGCCAAAUACUGACGCUGAGGUGCGAAAGCGUGGGGAGCAAACAGGAUUAGAUACCCCUGUAGUC
rnacentral:rRNA from 1 species